AUAGAGUAUGAAACUGAGGCCCAGGGUGAUUUUAAUGACACAGGGUCACACAGUAGUAUGCAUUGGAGGUAGAAACCAUGUCCUUUACCACUAGAGUCCUUCCCCUAUAAUGAGCUGCUUUGUACUUAUGAGGUCAUGGUUGAUAUCAUACAGAGACUAGAUUGGGGUGGGGUUGGGACAAGAGCCUGGCAGAAGAGGGUUAGAGGCUGGGUUUAGGAAUGCAGCUUUGGGACUCCAUCUAGGCUUGAGGGGCAAAAAAGAGAAAUUCCUUUAACGAAGAAUGAGCUUGGAGAAAUUGUAUCUUUUCCCUUGAGCCCCAUUAUAUCUGUGACUGUAUUCCGUGGAGCCUUCUGAAGACAUCAAGCAUCUGAUGGACCUCCAAUCGCCAUUCAGCAAAAAGGGAUUAAUGGCAGAGCAAACAAGUCAGGGGACAGGAGAGCCCCCUAACGUCAAUAAAAGAUGCUGCAAUACCAUGAAGAGGUCCAAAUCAGAGAUCCUCUGGCAGCCAGGAGUACUUGGCCCAGGUUUGCACCAGGCUGUCCCAAGAAGCAAAGAGUUGGAGGAGAAAGUGAAAGCACAGGAUACCCAGCUGAUGAUGGCCAGAACACAAUGGCUCCAGGUGCUGGCUAUAUUCAAAAAGCUGCAAAAGGAGCUUCAGGAAGAUGCUCGGAUCAGAGCGGAGGAGAGGAAACGUGAACAGAGGUAUGAAAACCUGUUUCAUGAAAUCCAAGUCAUCAGUACCCAGACCUGGAAACCUCAAGUCUCUAGAUUAGAGGACCAAUCCAAAGGGAACAAUAUUGUUGAACCCAGUCUCAGGCUCCUCUGUCCACUCCCUGAGGGACUCUCUCCCAGAUCUAACCUGAUUCCCAGGAACCUAGGGCUGCACUCUGGAGAGCAUGCUUCCUCAGCUCCUGUUCCACCCACUGGCCUCAUAAGACUGUACUCCCAAGGGUUGGUCCCAUGGAAUGCAGGCCCACCUGUGACCGCCAUGAUCAAGAAGAAGACCAAGGCCCUUCAGGCCAUUGCCCCGACACGGAGUAGUGACACACUGUUGAGCAGUGGUGGAGGAGAAGCAAUGGUUUGGAUAUCGCAACAGAAGACACCAUUACUACUGGGCAAGACACCAGCUGAAGCAGGAAGCUCUGGCCUUGGGAUAAGACUUGGGCACCCAAAUCUUCCACCACCAGAAGCUGUUCAAGAAAUAACGCAUUAAAUAACUAAACAGACAAAUAAAGAUUCAACUACAUGAAAGGACA
rnacentral:lncRNA from 1 species